GAUGAAGAACGUAGUGAAAUGCGAUAAGUAGUGUGAAUUGCAGAAUUCAGUGAAUCAUCGAAUCUUUGAACGCACAUUGCGCCCUUUGGUAUUCCAAAGGGCAUGCCUGUUCGAGCGUCAUUUGUACCCUCAAGCUUUGCUUGGUGUUGGGCGUCUUGUCUCUAGCUUUGCUGGAGACUCGCCUUAAAGUAAUUGGCAGCCGGCCUACUGGUUUCGGAGCGCAGCACAAGUCGCGCUCUCUAUCAGCAAAGGUCUAGCAUCCAUUAAGCCUUUUUUUCAACUUUUGACCUCGGAUCAGGUAGGGAUACCCGCUGAACUUAAGCAUAUCAAUAAGCGGAGGA
rnacentral:misc_RNA from 1 species